GAUGAACGCUGGCGGCGUGCCUAAUACAUGCAAGUCGAGCGAACGGACGAGAAGCUUGCUUUUCUGAUGUUAGCGGCGGACGGGUGGGUAACACGUGGAUAACCUACCUAUAAGACUGGGAUAACUUCGGGAAACCGGAGCUAAUACCGGAUAAUAUUUUGAACCGCAUGGUUCAUAAGUGAAAGACGGUCUUGCUGUCACUUAUAGAUGGAUCCGCGCUGCAUUAGCUAGUUGGUAAGGUAACGGCUUACCAAGGCAACGAUGCAUAGCCGACCUGAGAGGGUGAUCGGCCACACCGGAACUGAGACACGGUCCAGACUCCUACGGGAGGCAGUAGUAGGGAAUCUUCCGCAAUGGGCGAAAGCCUGACGGAGCAACGCCGCGUGAGUGAUGAAGGUCUUCGGAUCGUAAAACUCUGUUAUUAGGGAAGAACAUAUGUGUAAGUAACUGUGCACAUCUUGACGGUACCUAAUCAGAAAGCCACGGCUAACUACGUG
rnacentral:rRNA from 1 species